ensembl:lncRNA LINC00608 long intergenic non-protein coding RNA 608
GGCAACAGAGUGAGACUCUAUCUCUAAACAAAGAAAACAAAAGAAAUAGGAAACAUCACAGUCAAUGGGACAUUGAACCAUUCACCUCUAUACAUGACAUGCGUCAUCCCAAGAUGGAGGAGUGUCAUGGAGAAAUCCUGCUGACCAAACAAAAGUAGGAAAUGCCACUCAAGUCAAUAUAUAAUCAGAGCCCCACCCCACCUCAGAGUACAGUGAUCUUCUCCAAGCCUGCAGCGCCUCAGUUAGGAAAGUGAAAGCUUGCAAAAGGCAUUGGGGCAACAAAAUAGUCUCUAUUUCUUAUCAGGGACAAAAUGUACUUCCUUAUCAAACAGAGACCUAACCAAGGACACUCAUAAGGCAAGCUGUCAGUUUGUCCUUUAUAACCAAUUGUAGGCGGUGUGCACCUGUACUGGGCAAGCAGCAGGUCAUGUUUACAUGAGGAAGAAGCUAUCCAGGAAGAUCCACUUGACAUGGAUUAUAAAUAGCUAAAGAAACAAGUUCAUUUUGGUGCAUUUCAAAGACAUAUUAAAGGAAAGGUGGAGGCCAGAAGAGCAGAAGGCUCUGAGAAAAGUGCAUCACAGUGGCCCAUUAUGAUGUCUGUCUAUGGUCACGUGAGCUGGCAUAUGAGAGUGCUCUGUGAGCCUCAGUGCCUUCAGUGGCAUCAUUGCACUGUGACUGUGCAGGUCCCAAACAGUAUGGACAUGAAUGUCCUCAAGCUGCAUGUUAGCAGGGCUUCUAAUUCCAUCUGCAAGUGAUAGUGUGUGGAGCUUAGUUGCACAGAGCGCAUGUUACUGGAGGAGAUAUGGGUCUGUGUCAUCCUGCAUGGGAAUGAUCCUAAAAACAAAGUGAUCAGUGACUGCUCAGGACUGUGGAAAGGUCACUUGGAGCAGUGGGAAAAGGUCUGGCAGAGGAAUAAGAAGAUACAGGUCUUAGAACAAGCCCUGGGACUUCAACCAAGUCAUUUAACAUCUGGGGCCUUCGUUUAUUUAUCCUCCCAGCAGAUAAAGCAAUACCUGCCCUGUCUUCCUAACCUUGGAGGGGUCAAAAAAGUGAUGGGUGUGAAAGCAUUUUGUAAACUGUAGUGCAAGCAUACGGCAGGGGAGUGAACCAUACUUUCACUAGCGACUUGAAUGAGGUGAUAAAGAAAAGGCUCAGAACUUCAGAAAAUGCAAGAGGGGCUUGACCCUGGAUUGGCAGAGGAAAGCAAUGGUGGGAUCGAUACCUUGGAGAGCCAAGGACCAAGGGGUUAAGGGUCCAUGAGGACAGGCCUGGAUCAUCAGGAAGCUGAGUGUGGUAAGACUGUGGCUUCUUCAGGGAUUGGGUGGAGUACAGUCCUGCCAAGACCACAGUAACUCAGGGCUUGGAGACAUCACAAAGGCAGGGGCUCCUAGAGCUGAGAUAAUCUGGAGAAGAGGAUACCCAUCUACUGCAUUCUGAGAUUGGGUUCGACCUGUAGGUCAUCUUGGAUAGACGUUUUCCAGCUCUUCUUUUUUUUUUUUUUUGGAACAGAGAGAACCUAAUUGACCCUUAAAGUUCCACAGAGCAGAGUUUGCAAAUCUCUGGUUCAGCCUUAUUAUUUAAAUGAGAGGAGAAUGAAAUCCCAGAAAAGAGAUGUGAUUAUGUGAAGGUCACACAGCAAGUUAGUUGCCAAGCUGCAACUGGAACUCAGAAUUUCUGGUUCCCAGUUCUAUAUCUUAGCCUCCCAAACUGGCUAUGUGGACAGGAAAGAACAGAGUAAUGGGGUGAGCUUUAAGGAUGCAAUUUCAUAGGAUUCCAAGAGUCUCAAGGUUAGAGAAGUCGCCUAGUCCACCUCCCCUCUCUGCUUCUCACAGAAGGGUCUGCUGAACACUCUGGUGACAGAGAACUCACCCAACAUGUUCCAUGGCAGAGGCUUUUCAUUAGAUCAAGGUGACAUCUGUUUUACUGGAGCUUCCAACCACGUGUCCCAAUACUGCCCUUAGUCACAGGCAUCCAGGUCCUCUCUCUCAGGACAGCACUUUGAAUAAAUGAGGACAGCUCCCAUCCCCCUUUCUCCCAGUUGACUUUCCAGAAACAUCUCAUAUUGUUGUUGGCUUUCCACCAUUUUUCCUCUUCACUUCCUGGGCCUACUACUACACUGUGUGUCCUCCACUUGGUCUCUUCCUGAAAGCAACACUGUGCACAAUGUUCCUGGGGGCAGACUUAUUAAACCAAGUGGACCACUUCCUUCAUCUUAGGUGUCACAGCUCCAUCAAUGCAUCCUCAAAUCACAAUG